AGAACGAACGCUGGCGGCAUGCCUAAUACAUGCAAGUCGAACGAACACUUCGGUGUUAGUGGCGCACGGGUGCGUAACGCGUGGGAAUCUGCCCUUGGGUUCGGAAUAACAGUUGGAAACGACUGCUAAUACCGGAUGAUAUCGAAAGAUCAAAGAUUUAUCGCCCAGGGAUGAGCCCGCGUAGGAUUAGCUAGUUGGUGAGGUAAAGGCUCACCAAGGCGACGAUCCUUAGCUGGUCUGAGAGGAUGAUCAGCCACACUGGGACUGAGACACGGCCCAGACUCCUACGGGAGGCAGCAGUAGGGAAUAUUGGACAAUGGGCGCAAGCCUGAUCCAGCAAUGCCGCGUGAGUGAUGAAGGCCUUAGGGUUGUAAAGCUCUUUUACCCGAGAUGAUAAUGACAGUAUCGGAGAAUAAGCCCGGCUAACUCCGUGCCAGCAGCCGC
rnacentral:rRNA from 1 species